rnacentral:lncRNA from 1 species
AUGUUGCUGUGUGACUUGGAGCUAAGGGUAUUGUUGGCAAAAAAGCUGUACAAAGUCCUUGUCUAUAACUGCCAACUUUGGUGGUGCUCCUCUGCCUCCCCAGACCUGGAGCUCCCUGAGCUCAAGGAAAGGACUGCUGCUGCUGCUGCUGCUGCUGCUGCUCCUCCUCCUCCUCCUUCACCGUCUCCCCAGAAGACUGUGAAGUCCCUGAGGACAAAGAACAGGUGUGAUCCUUCAGACUCUGAGCUCUCAGAGGACAUUUCUGACCCCAUCUACCCUGCUCCUAGACUGUGUGCUCUCUGACACCUGAGCCUGGGUCUCAUUCUUUUCUGUCUCCCUUAGAUUCUUUUCUUCAGUUUUCCCCACAGCCCAUUGGAGCCAAGGUCUGGGCAUAGUAGUUUGAUUAGGGUAGAUUUGGUCAUUUAAUCUUAAAUUCUGGGGACCCUUAGGUGCCUCAGUGGACUGAGAGCUAGUUCUAGAGAUGGAAGGUCCUCAGUUCGAAUCUAGCUUCAGAUACUUCCUAGCUGGGUGAUCCUGGGUGAUCCUUGACUCCCAUUGCUUAGCAUUUAUUACUCUUCUGCCUGGGAAUCAAUACACAGCAUUGAUCCUGAGACAGAAGAUAAGGGUUUAUUAAAAAAAAUAAGGUCUGCCCCUUCCUCUACUGUAUCCCCACCGGCCCCAGCCCCCACUGCCUGUAAUCUGUUAGAGCUGCAUGUUUGUUGUUCCCUCUACCAGGGAGGUUCUUAACCUAGUUGAGCCUCAGGGGCUCCAUGAACUUGUGUGAGAAAUGUAAAAAUUGCAUCUACAUUUUCACUAACCUUUAAGUGGAAUUGAACAUUUCCUUUGAUUGUUUAAAAAUAUUGUUCUGAGAAGGGGUCUAUAGACUUCACCAGACUACUGCCAAAGAAGUAAAUGACACCCCAAACCCUCUGUAGACAGGAAUAGGACAGGAGGGAGAUUCAGGCUGGGGUUGACACCAAAAGAG